UAGGGAAUCUUCCACAAUGGACGCAAGUCUGAUGGAGCAACGCCGCGUGAGUGAAGAAGGGUUUCGGCUCGUAAACUCUGUUGUUAAAGAAGAACAUAUCUGAGAGUAACUGUUCAGGUAUUGACGGUAUUUAACCAGAAAGCCACGGCUAACUACGUGCCAA
rnacentral:rRNA from 1 species